rnacentral:lncRNA from 1 species
AACUAAAGAUCAAAAGAACUACUCGCCAGGAACUUGAACUCCCUUCUUCAGCUUCUCCUUCUUCAUCUUCUUCUUGGAAAGGGGCUUCUUCUUCCUCGGAGGCAAAUUCUUCUGCGCGUAUGUGUAGAGUAUGAAGUUUCCCACAAGGAACGUCACUAGCAACCCUCCAAUCACAAGAAGGACGAUCAGUCCCGGGUUGAGCCCUUUGCUCUCUAUUUUUCCCUGUUUUCAUUGUUUUUUUUUCCUUAGCAAUUUCAAAAUAAAAUCCAUAUGCAAGAACACAACAAGAUCAAGCGAGAGGACAGGACACACAAAAACAGGUUCUUUUUUUUUUAAUGAAUGUGAAAAUAUAUAUUCAACCCAAAAAAAAAAGAAGACAUUUUUACAAUGACUGCCUCUUUGUUUUAGGAGUCUUUAACUAUCAAAAGUAUUUUAAAAACAGAGCAUUAUCUCUCUAGCUUCUUCUCAGACCAAACCAAUGUUCAGAGGUUUCAUCAUGCUGUAAGAAAAUGAGAAAAAGUUGCAGACUUUGCAACAUAUAAACACAGAUUGAAACAUCCUUACUAGCUUUACCAUCAAUGACCAUUUCUACAAACAACUAACAGAUCUCGGCAAAUUAACAUUAAGAAGCAUCAAAACCGAUGAAGAUUAUCCAAAGGUAACAACUUUAGCACGAUCAAUCAUACGAAUGGAUCCAAAAUGAUCUCGAUUUAAGAAGCGGAACACCAUAUGUGCAUUAGACCAAGAAGAUCAGAUUCUAAGCAUGCAACAUGUAAGAUUGAAAUGCAGAUCUAGCGAUUCAGAAUCAUCGUGAAUAAUUUAACUAGAGAUUUGAUGCUAAGCAUGCAAAAUGUAAGAUUGAAAUGCAGAUCUAGCGAUUCAGAAUCAUCGUGAAUAAUUUAACUAGAGAUUUGAUGAUCUCAAGGAAACGAACAAAUUAACAGAGAGGGGAGAAUAGAUCUUACAGAGAAUUCAUCAGCCAUAGCUGCGUUUAGGAGCUUCCGGAGAUCAGCACCAGUCGCCGGAGACAAUUGAAAGACUAUUUUUUUUUUUCUAAGAUUCAGCAAAUAAAUAAAGAGAAUUAGAGAUCACCGCAGCAGGAUUAUUUUUGUAAUAAAUAAAGUUAGAGGCCAAAUUGUAAAAUAAUCUAAAAUAGGGGUGAUGAUACAUAAAUAGACCACUGCCG